UUAUAUAUAGUUUAGUAAAAAUGUUAUAUUUUCAUUAUAAAGAGUUAAUAAUUUUAGUAUAUAAA
rnacentral:tRNA from 1 species